rnacentral:lncRNA from 1 species
UCUUGAAUGGCACAGUCUCGACGAACGUGGUGUGGUACUCUUCUAGCACCCUGGAAGAAUGUAUGGUAUAUGGUAAGAACUUCAGUCAUAUAAAGAGCUAUGUUGAGACAAUUAGCAUAAUAUAUGCUUUCUUGAGACCAUCAGAUCAUGUGUCACUUUGUGCAUUUACGGAUAUGCAGGAAAAAAUUCAGAUGUGCCAAACUGAUAUUUUGAGAUGAACUAAAACUUACUUGUAUCUUCUGCUGGGAGCAGUGAACAGCAGCAAGAUCCUUUCCCAGAACUGGUUACCAGGCAAGCUCUCAAUGGCCAUGAAGGCAAAAUAGCCCCAGAGGACAGAUGUUGGGAUCUUCUUGAGUAGUGGCAUAGCAGCGACACAACCCC